UACGUAGGGACCAAGCGUUGUUCGGAUUUAUUGGGCGUAAAGGGUGCGUAGGCGGCGCGGUAAGUCGGGUGUGAAAUCUCGGAGCUUAACUCCGAAACUGCAUUCGAUACUGCCGUGCUUGAGGACUGGAGAGGAGACUGGAAUUUACGGUGUAGCGGUGAAAUGCGUAGAUAUCGUAAGGAAGACCAGUGGCGAAGGCGGGUCUCUGGACAGUUCCUGACGCUGAGGCACGAAGGUCAGGGGAGCAAACGGG
rnacentral:rRNA from 1 species